UAUAAGUAUAUAAAGGAACUAUUAUGGAAUUUAAGCUAUGUAUUAAAGAGAAUUAGUUAUAUAAAUAAGAUAAAGAUCUUAUAAGUAUAUAAACUCUAAGAGAAAUCUAAUACUAAACGAAGUGAAUUGAAAUAUCUUAGUAACUUCAGGAAAAGAAAUCAAAAGAGAUUCUAUGAAUAGCGUGAGCGAAAGUAGAGGAGCCUAAAAAGUAGAACGGUAUCAAAACUGUUUAAACAUUGGGGAACCUUCCUCAAAGGCUAAAUAUAAUACAUAAGCGAUAGUGAAAAGUACCAUGAGGGAACAAAAACAAAAAUAGUAGUUUUAUAAGCAGUUCGAUAAAAAGAACGUACCUUUUGCAUAAUGGGUCACCAAGUUAACAUUAGAUGCGAGCUGUAUUAGCAUGCGUAGUCAAACCGAACGUUAAAAUAACGAAUAAGUGUCUAAAGUUAGACCCGAAGCCAGGUGAUUUUACCAUAGUCAGGAUUAUAAAAGUCCGAACGGGUGAUUGUAGCAAAAAUCUCCGAAGAACUGUGGUAGGUGUAGCGAAAGACAACACUGACUUGGAUAGCUGGUUUUCUGCGAAACCUAUAAUAGUAGGCAAUUUAAAUAAACAUCUUAGCAGGUACAGAAUUUAAUCUCAGACAAGGCGUUUUAUACGUUUUAUAUUGUACAAAUUGGGGGACCAUGAAGGUUUUAUCAGUGAGUAUGUAGACUCGGAAUGGCAAAGAUGUAUUUUGAAUGAUCAGACAUAGAAUGAUAAGGUUGUAUGUCGAAAGGGAAACAGCCCAGAACAAGAGUUAAGGUUCCUAAAUUAUUAGUUGAGUGAAAUUAAGAAGGUUUUUAUUAAAGUCGACAAGGAGAUAGGCUUAGAAGCAGCCAUAAUUUUAUGACCUCGUAACAGAGCGCUUGUUAAGUUAUAAAAGCAUCGAAAAUAUAACGGAUCUAAACAAUAUACCGAAACCUUGUCCAUUAUAUAUUAUAAUAUUAUUAUUAUUAUAAUUCAAUGGGGUAGCAGAACGUUGAGCUAAAUUAUGAGUUUUAUUUUUUAAAUAGAAUGAUAACGAUUUAACUCAAGUGAGAAUGGUGACAUGAGUAACUAAAAGAAAAUUUUCCGCCUUAAGCUUAUGGAUAUAUUUAAGUAACGGCCUCUAAGUUUAUAUUAUCUAAAGAUUUAAACGAUGAGAAAAUCUUUUUUACUAAGGACGACAUUUUAGUGUAAAAUGUACUGGAAAAAUAGUAAAUAUAUUUAUAGUUAGCUUAGCUUCUAUAAAUGAAGAAUAACCGUACCUAGAAUCUGAAACAAGUAAGCUAGUAGAGAAUACGAAGGCGUAAAUGAGCUAACAAUCAUAAAGGAACUCGGCAAAUUGACUACCGUAACUUCGGAAUAAGGAGGGCUCAUUAUUCUUGAUUAAUAUCAAGUAAAGAGGAAGAAGCAUGAAAUAAUGUUGUACGACUGUUUAAUUAAAACACAGCACUCUGCUGAAAGAUUAAAAAUCUAAGUAUAGAGUGUGAUAUCUGCCCGGUGCCGGCUGGUUAACAGAGAUAAUUGAAUAUACUACUAUUUGAUGUCGACGGAAACCCCGGUUAAAGGCGGCCUUAACGUGAGGGUCCUAAGGUAGCAAAAUGCCUUGGCCGUUAAAUGAGGUCUUGCAUGAAUGGGGUAACGAUACAACAGCUGUCUCUAUGUUUGACUCAGUGAAAUUGGAAUAGCAGUGCGGAUACUGCUUACCUCUAGUUAGACAAGAAGACCCUAUGCAGCUUUACUGUCACCAAUUAUAGAUUAUGAUAGACAAUUUUCAGAUUGUAAGGUAAUUGAUUUAUGACAAUGGGAAACCUUUAUUUUUCUUUCAUAUAAAUGAAUUGGUUUAGGAGUAUAAGUAGAUUGUAAUUUAUGUGGCUUUACUGAGCCAAUUUGUUAAAUUAUAGUCUGUAUGCUUAUACUAGUAGAUCAGCCUAAUUCAACUUAUUAUAUUUAUUAUAGUAAGUACCCUUUGGUAAGGAACUAUCGCUAGGGGACAGUUUAUGUGGGGCACAGACCCUGUAAAGAGUAAACAGGAGUGUCUAAAAAUUUAUAAAUAUUUUGUUUGCUAUUUUGAAUAGUUUAACUAUUCUUAAUCAUAUACAAUUAAUUAUAUUUGCAUUUAUUGUAAAUAUAGUUAAGAUUAGGUAGGAUUUUCACUAUAUAGAAAUUAGAGAUAAUAAAGAUAUUAUGGAAACUCUUCUAAUAUCUUUUAGCUAUCUUUUAGAUAGUUAUGUUUACAAUAUCUAAAAAGCUCAACGGCUUAAUCCUGCCUUACUGUUUGAUUAUCUACAAAUCUUACAGUUGCGUAAGCAGGGCAUAGGAUCACAAGAUGCAACAAGGAAAGAUCUUGGAUUAUUGGAAAAGCUACGCUAGGGAUGUUUGUCCUUUAAUAUUUUAUAUUGUACAGUUGGCGAAAGCUAUAACUCUUGUUAC
rfam:Metarhizium robertsii ARSEF 23 MAA_Scf_3, whole genome shotgun sequence.